rnacentral:rRNA from 1 species
UGGGGAAUUUUGGACAAUGGGCGAAAGCCUGAACUAGCAACGCCGCGUGUGCGAAGAAGGCCUUCGGGUUGUAAAGCACUUUUUGAGGGGAUGAGGAAGGACGGUACUCUCAGAAUAAGUCUCGGCUAACUACGUGCCAGCAGCCGCGGUAACACGUAGGAGGCGAACGUUAUCCGGAUUUACUGGGCGUAAAGCGCGUGUAGGUGGUUUGGUAAGUAGGGCGUGAAAGCUCCUGGCUCAACUGGGAGAGGCCGUUCUAAACUGCCGAACUAGAGGAUGGUAGAGGGAGGUGGAAUUCCGGGUGUAGCGGUGGAAUGCGCAGAUAUCCGGAGGAACACCAGUGGCGAAAGCGGCCUCCUGGACCAUUCCUGACACUCAGACGCGAAAGCUAGGGUAGCAAACGG